GACGAACGCUGGCGGCGUGCCUAAUGCAUGCAAGUCGCACGCGGCACCUUCGGGUGCUGCGUGGCGAACGGCCGAGGAACACGGGGGGACCUGUCCGGGAGUGGGGGACAACACCGCGAAAGCGGUACUAAUCCCGCAUUCGCUCUGAGGAGGAAAGCCGAAAGGCGCUCCCGGUUGGCCCUGCGGCCCAUCAGGUUGUUGGUGGGGUAACGGCCUACCAAGCGAAUGACGGGUCGCUGUUCUGUGAGGACGACCAGCCGGACUGGGACUGGGACACGGCCCAGACUCCUACGGGAGGCGGCGGCAAGGAAUUUUCGGCAAGGGGCGCAAGCCUGACCGAGCAACGGCGCGUGCAGGAAGACGGCCUUCGGGUUGUAAACUGCUUUUGCUAGGGAGGAUAACAGACAGUACCUGGCGAAUCAGCCCCGGCUAACUCUGUG
rnacentral:rRNA from 1 species